rnacentral:rRNA from 1 species
AGAGAGAGACAUGCGCGCAUAUCAAUAAGCGGAGGAAAAGAAACUAACAAGGAUUCCCUUAGUAACGGCGAGUGAAGCGGGAAGAGCUCAAAUUUGAAAUCUUCAAGGGUUUCCCUUGACGAAUUGUAGUUUAAAGAAGUGUUUUCUGUUAGAGAGGUGGUAAAAGUUCUUUGGAAUAGGACAUCAUAGAGGGUGAGAAUCCCGUAUUUGAUCACUUUCUACUAACGUUGUGAUACACUUUCAAAGAGUCGGAUUGUUUGGGAAUGCAGUCCAAAAUGGGUGGUAAAUUUCAUCUAAAGCUAAAUAUUGGCGAGAGACCGAUAGCGAACAAGUACCGUGAGGGAAAGAUGAAAAGAACUUUGAAAAGAGAGUUAAACAGUACGUGAAAUUGUCAAAAGGGAAGCGUUUGACACCAGUGUUGUUUUUCCGAAAAUCAAUUACGAAUGUUUUAUUUUUGAGGAGUUAUGACUUCAUCGGCUUGCUCCUUUCUUUAUGAAACUUUCUUAAUGCACUUUUCGGUUAACAAGUCAACAUCAAUUUCUUUUGUUGUAAAAGGGUAUGAGGAAGGUGGCUUUCUUUUCGGAGAAAGUGUUUAUAGCCUUGUGCCUCUGCAAUCGGAGAGAUUGAGGUCUGCAGCGUAGAUCCUUCGGGGUUAGAUACAUUUGUGCUAAGUUAUAGCUUUUCAUAGACAACUUGUUGACUUAUGUUAGUCUUGUAGCUUACUCGCUUAUGCUAUUUUACCUACGCUUAGGAUGUUGACAGCAGUAUAGACUGU